rnacentral:misc_RNA from 1 species
GUAUGUGAACCUGCGGAAGGAUCAUUAACACGUUCCAAACCUAAUCAACCAACCUGUGAACUUGUAUCUGCCUGCUCGGAGAGAUGAGCUGCAUGCAGCUUGUCUUUCUCAGGCCCACUAUAUAAAUUCCUAUGGGGCUUAUCUUGCUUAUCCAAUUCAUCAUUCGCUUGAUUGAUUAAUUGAUAGGUACAGAUCAGUUCUCCCCCUAGUGAUUUAUACUAUAUUUUUUUCACGCCCUAGUACUCUUUCUUAGGAAUGAGGACUGCUGUUAAUCAAUAUCUACUUUUUGCUCUUUACAUAGAUUUUAAGUGUCGAUCAGCGGAUGUAUAUACUGUCUCUCUUGGACGUGUAUAUAGAUUAGCCCGACUGCUAUGUGAGUAGUAAUCAUUAUAUCAAUAAAUAAGAGAACAACUCUUAGCAAUGGAUAUCUUGGUUCUC